rnacentral:tRNA from 1 species
GCAGUCGUGGCCGAGUGUUUAAGGCGAUGGACUAAAAAUCCAUCGGGGUCUCCCCGCACAGGUUCGAAUCCUGUCGACUGCG